UACGUAGGGGGCAAGCGUUGUCCGGAAUCAUUGGGCGUAAAACGCGUGUAGGCGGCCAGAUAGGUCUGCUGUGAAAACUCGAGGCUCAACCUCGAGACGUCGGCGGAAACCCUCUGGCUAGAGUCCGGAAGAGGAGAGUGGAAUUCCUGGUGUAGCGGUGAAAUGCGCAGAUAUCAGGAAGAACACCCGUGGCGAAGGCGGCUCUCUGGGACGGUACUGACGCUGAGACGCGAAAGCGUGGGGAGCAAACAGG
rnacentral:rRNA from 1 species